ensembl:snRNA U6 U6 spliceosomal RNA
GUUCCAUUCAGCAGCACUUAGACUAAAAUUGGAGCCUUGCAGAGAUGUAGUAUGGCCCCUGUGCAAGGAUGGCAUGCAAAUUUAUGAAGGGAUCCAUAUUUUU